GUGAGGAAUUUUGCGCAAUGGGGGCAACCCUGACGCAGCGACGCCGCGUGGAGGACGAAGUCUUUCGGGAUGUAAACUCCUGUCAGUGGGGACGAUAAUGACGGUACCCACAGAGGAAGCACCGGCUAACUCCGUGCCAGCAGCCGCGGUAAGACGGAGGGUGCAAGCGUUGUUCGGAAUUACUGGGCGUAAAGCGUAUGUAGGCGGCAAGUUAAGUUCAAUGUUAAAGCCCACGGCUCAACCGAGGAGAUGCAUUGAAUACUGGCUAGCUAGAGGGUGUUAGAGGAAGACGGAAUUCCCAGUGUAGCGGUGAAAUGCGUAGAUAUUGGGAGGAACAUCGGUAGCGAAAGCGGUCUUCUGGGACAUACCUGACGCUGAGGUACGAAAGCGUGGGUAGCGAACAGGAUUAGAAACCCGUGUAGUCC
rnacentral:rRNA from 1 species